rnacentral:rRNA from 1 species
CCUACGGGAGGCAGCAGUAGGGAAUAUUGCUCAAUGGGGGAAACCCUGAAGCAGCAACGCCGCGUGGAGGAUGAAGGUUUUCGGAUUGUAAACUCCUUUUGUUAGAGAAGAUAAUGACGGUAUCUAACGAAUAAGAACCGGCUAACUCCGUUCCAGCAGCCGCGGUAAUACGGCGGGUGCAAGCGUUACUCGGAAUCACUGGGCGUAAAGAGCGCGUAGGCGGGAUAGAAAGUCAGAUGUGAAAGCCUAUGGCUUAACCAUAGAACUGCAUUUGAAACUGGUAUUCUAGAGUAUGGGAGAGGUAGGUGGAAUUCGUGGUGUAGGGGUAAAAUGCGUAGAGAUCAAGAGGAAUACUCAUUGCGAAGGCGACCUGCUAGAACAUAACUGACGCUGAUGCGCGAAAGCGUGGGGAGCAAACAGGAUUAGAUACCCGGGUAGUC